rnacentral:rRNA from 1 species
AGAGUUUGAUCAUGGCUCAGAUUGAACGCUGGCGGCAUGCCUUACACAUGCAAGUCGAACGGCAGCACGGGGGCAACCCUGGUGGCGAGUGGCGAACGGGUGAGUAAUACAUCGGAACGUGUCCUGUAGUGGGGGAUAGCCCGGCGAAAGCCGGAUUAAUACCGCAUACGCUCUACGGAGGAAAGGGGGGGAUCUUAGGACCUCCCGCUACAGGGGCGGCCGAUGGCAGAUUAGCUAGUUGGUGGGGUAAAGGCCUACCAAGGCGACGAUCUGUAGCUGGUCUGAGAGGACGACCAGCCACACUGGGACUGAGACACGGCCCAGACUCCUACGGGAGGCAGCAGUGGGGAAUUUUGGACAAUGGGGGCAACCCUGAUCCAGCAAUGCCGCGUGUGUGAAGAAGGCCUUCGGGUUGUAAAGCACUUUUGUCCGGAAAGAAAACGCCGUGGUUAAUACCCGUGGCGGAUGACGGUACCGGAAGAAUAAGCACCGGCUAACUACGUGCCAGCAGCCGCGGUAAUACGUAGGGUGCAAGCGUUAAUCGGAAUUACUGGGCGUAAAGCGUGCGCAGGCGGUCCGCUAAGACAGAUGUGAAAUCCCCGGGCUUAACCUGGGAACUGCAUUUGUGACUGGCGGGCUAGAGUAUGGCAGAGGGGGGUAGAAUUCCACGUGUAGCAGUGAAAUGCGUAGAGAUGUGGAGGAAUACCGAUGGCGAAGGCAGCCCCCUGGGCCAAUACUGACGCUCAUGCACGAAAGCGUGGGGAGCAAACA